UUCAGUAUAAUCAGUAAAGUAUCCUUAAAGCACUAAAAGUUGAAGUUGUCCAAUAAUUGUAGUGAAGUAAAAAGUAAAAUACUUUCUUCUGAGAUGUAGUGCAGUAGAAGAAGAAAGUAGCAUAAAAAGAAAAGUGCCAGUACCUCAAAUUUAUACUAAAGCACAGUACUUUAGGGAAUACACAUUUCAUCAUUAGUAUUCUUACAUUUAGGUGUUCCAGUGGACAUAUUUGCAUUCUGACCAAGUGUGCAUAUGUAUGACAGAAAUGAUCUCUGAAGCUACAUGCUAUAUGCAGUGGUCUGAACUUUUCAUAUUGAUGUAUUACAGGCUCUGCUGAUUUCAGCACAAAGAAAGAAGUCUUCCAUAGGGUCAUGGGUGUUCGAAGGCUUCAAGAGGAGAAGAAGAUCCUUGUGAAAGAAAUGAAGCAGCACUGGGAGUCUCCCAAAGCCCAUGCCAGGGUCUUGUCCGAGUUGCCUCAGCAUCAGAGUGAAGACGCCAUGCAAAGACAUCUCACAGAGAAAGCAACAAAGGGUCACACCUGCCUCAUCCUUCCAGUGGGAAAUGAGAGAGCUGCAGCGGCAUACAAGAAAACACUACCUGCAUGUGCUGUCAUCAGCAGAUGACAUAAUGGACACAAUGGACAGUUCAGAUGAGUUCGACAUUGGCUGUGAAGAUUCAGAGUCAGAUGCAAUGUAAAACAGGAAGAUGUGGUGCUCAUGAUCACAGUGCACCGUGUGCGACACAUGGUCACACAGAGCAUGUGGCUUUAAAAAGUGACUAACGUAUGUGCUCAUUGUCAGGAUUAAGUUGGAGAUGACAGUUGUAGUUUUUGUAUUAGGUUGUUGUUAUUUCUGCAUUUGGUUUUGAAAUGUUUCAUCACUUAUAUAAGGUUGGAUUUUUCUACUGGGUUGUGGGAAGUUCCUGGUCUUACAUCUUUACAACACAAACCACUGUCCUUUACUGUCUUAUCUUUGAUUCACGUUCAGUUCUGCAUCUUUUCAGGGAUUUUCUUUCCAGUUGAUCUUUACUGUUUGAUUAAUAAUUGUUCUUUAAUGUUUAAUUAAACAAAGGCACAAUGAAGCUACAUUUCUGAUUGA